UCCAUCAAGCAAAUAAUAUCCAUAAAGCUAAUGUUCUACCCCAAGUGCAUAAGUUUAAUACAUUUCAAGAGAGUGAGUUUCAAAAAUGCUGAUAACAAAAGAUUCAUAGAAUAUUCAUCUAUAGCAAUUCAAAAUUCAUCUCAAGUAAGGUCUAGUUCUUCACUGCCUUUCAUCUUCCAUUUCUUGAUCUACUCCACCUACAAAAGAGGAUAAAUAAAGUCAUUACCCUUCAAGAGAAUCCGGUCUAAGAAUGCUCAUAGCACAAAGUGCCAUGAAAAAAGAAAAGAACAUUAAGGAUAUAUAAGACUUCGAAAUGAAAUUGCUUAGUAACUUUGAACCAAAAACAUAAUGAAUUAUAAAUAAACAACAAAUUCAAUUACAAGAUUGGUAGUCAGUAUCCAGUAUCCUAAUAAAUAGAAUUCUAGAUUUCCUUCAAAGAUCACAUAAAACUAUACAUACAUGACACAACUAAAUCAAUUAUGUAAAAUAGUACAUACAAGACGCUAAAAUGACACUGCUUACUAACUUUGCAAAUUAGAGAACACAUUAAACUGAUGAAUAAACAACAAAUUUAACAAGAAAAUAGGUACUUAGUACAGCUUCCGAUCUAAUAUAGAAGUGUAAACUUCCACUUCCACUAUCUCUUAGGACGUUCAAUUUUCACCCUUACACAAAACUAUACACACAACCAAAGCAAUCAUGUAGCUAAAAUGACAUUGCUUGGUAACUUUGAAAAUUAGAAGAAAACAACACAAUAAUCAGAUGUAGCAAACAACAAAUUUAAAUACUAGUUUGAUACUUAGUACAGCUUUCGAUCCACAAAUAAGUUGAGAUCUAAAUUACAUUUUUAUCUCAAUUUUGGACGCAUAGGUGAAAUUAUACACACAAACCAAAGCAAUUUUGUAGAAUGUAGGAAGAUAAACUGAUAGCAAAAAAAUGAAAGAAUGACUUACUGUGUAACUUCGGAUGGGGAAAGGACAUUAGAAGGCCGAAGGCUAGAGCAAAGCCAAUCGAGGACUGGUCUAGCGUCGUCAUAUUAGAAAGGCCAAUAGGAGUAACAUGCAUCAUUUCUAGUUUCAUACCUUAAAUUUAGACGGAAGGGAUAGCAGUAGGAAGGACAUUUGCUGCUAUGCAAAAUUACCAAGUUGACGGUAACAAGAAAUGAUAGCUAUCGGACUUAUGAACAUGGCUGGCUCUUGUGCUUCCUGCUUUGUCACUACAGGUACAAAUCUGUAGUGAUUUUGGCACAGAUUUGUGGAACGGAUAUGGUCUAUGAUUCUGGCACACGUUUAAUCACAUUGCCGGAAGGAAGUAGUGCAUGAGUCUAGGUACAUAUUCUCUUUUAUUGUUACUUAAGUACGAUAACAUAAGAUGAUUUUUUUUAACAACAAACAAGUUAUCAUCUAUAUAUUUUCUAGCCAUGUCUUUAAUCAAACCAGUUAGCUUAUUUUCUUGUUUGCAUUGAGAACUUAACAGUUCGAGACAGAGUAUAAACGUAACGCCAAAUCUAAAAAGCAUAUAGAUGUAAAGAAGUUGACCCUUAAUUGCUCUAUUGUCCUCUGAGAGGACUGUUAAUGACCAGUGUGCAAGACGGUCUGCAGAUGAGAGUGCACUUUUGGACAGAAUUCACGUAUCGCGCGUAUCCUAAAACUAGUACAAUCAAAAUCGUAAAAAACAAAAAGGCAAAAGUUUUGAAAGGUGCAUAUGCAAAAAGUAUUCGGAUAGAUUCUACCAUGACAGCGGGGGUCAAAUGUUUCAUCAUAAUUGAUUCAGUCUUGCUAAGAGUAUAUACCCUUCGACGACCAGAGCUUAGCCUUUUGUUUUGUAGUGCUAGGACAUACAUAUUCUACAAAUACUUCUUCGUUUUCGAAACCAUUUCAAAAUGCACUUUUUCAUCCAUUUGAAAAAGCUAGCCUAAUACAUUUUUGUUUUUGUUUUAUAAGGUACACAGAGAUCGAACCAUUAAGAAAUAAAUAGAGAAGAUAUAUCAGGAAAAUAUAUAUCCGUGCAACAUUACUAUUACAGGGAAUAAAGCAUGCAUAGGGCACUUAUUAGGCCUGCAUUAGAUUAUUUAUUCUUACAUCCAGUGAAACACAACAUAAUGGCAGGGGACAUGGUAGUCUCUGCAUUAGUACAUGCAUAUUUUAUACUACUCCAUACUUAGUUUUAUUAGAAAGCAGAUGCAUAAUCAUGCUUCGGCCUUUCCAAUUCCGCCAUGCUUUAUGAACACAAAGGCCUUUGCAUUCUCUGUGAGAACAAAAUGCCUAUAUCCAUUUUCCUCAGUGAUGCCUACAUUUUGGCAAGUAAACUCCUCUCCGUGGGGACAGAAGACUAGCUUAUACGUCGAGCCACCAAGAGGCUUAAUUUGAAACCAGCUAUUCACAUCCAGGGGAUUUCCCAAUAAUGAGAACUCAGAAGACAAAGGGUUAUAAUAAUGAGAACUUAGUUUUAUAGAUAGAACUAAACUACACUAGUUAAUCUAUAAUAAUGAGAACUUAGAUUAUAGAUAGAACAAAACUACACUAGCUAAUCUACUAAGACCAUAUCUAAUUUUUUUAUAUUAUAUAAUCCUUAUCUCAUUCUCAAUUUACACAAAUUGUUAUCGUCUGUACAUAAGUUUUCUAAUACUGGUACAUAUUAAAUCUCCUAAAAGUCUAACAAUAAUCUAUGCAAAAGCGAUUGUGGACUCCUGACACCUUCAAGAGUUAUGUUACUCCUUCCCCCCCAUAUAUAAUCCCAAAAACAUAAAAGCAUAUAAAAACUUAAUAAACCCCUCUUUUUGCAGGAAAAUUUCAAAUCUUGCUUCAGGUGCUACUAUUAAACCUCAGUCCUUACUAAACAAAACGGCAUCAAAAAUUCCAUGAUAAAGGCAAAUAUAAGGACACUUUAAAAGCAUUAAAAUUGUAUAACUAAGUGAUGGAGAUGACUCUCUAAAGUUGAACAAAAACAACACCAUAACUUGCACAAACAAAAGAUGCUGAAUCCACAGUACAUCACUCAGUUACUCCCAAAAAUAAAAUAAAAAUCACUGAAUCGAGUAAAAAGGAACAUUAAAACUGAAAUUUUCAUCCAAAAUCACAACUAGCGAAUGUGGUUAUCCUAAAUUUAUAUUAAAAAGAGUUUAAGAAAACUUACAAUUAUUUAUCCCACAGCUAUCAGUUGCAUUUUCAUCCUCGCUAAUGGAAUCUGCAAGUUAUGGCUCAACUAUUGAGAAAUUACAAAAGGAAUAAAAGAAGAGCAUGCAAAAUAAAUCAGAAAAUUUGCGAGAGUCGAGCGAAAACCUAGAAUUAAGGCUCAGUGAGAAUAAGAAGUUGUAGUCGAGCUUAAUCGAGAAAAAAAACCUAGAAUUUUGGGACUAUUUGAAACCAUGGAGCUUUGAUUAAUUGAAUGGUUGCUGUUUCUGGUGGAGGAGAUAAAUUUUAUAGGAGGAGGAAAAAGAAAAUUGAGAUUCUGCUGGUGUUGACAGAGUUGACGGCGGGAUAUUGGCAGAUGCGACGGAGGUCGACGGCGGAUAGUGGCAGCGACAAUGGAGGUUCUGGCCUUCUCUGAUGGAUACGCUCAAAGGGGAAAGACGAGGUUAGGACUUAGGAGAACAAAUAAAUGGGUUCUAAUUUUAUGAAAUAA
rnacentral:lncRNA from 1 species